GACGGGGGAUGCGAGCGUUAUCCGGAAUGAUUGGGCGUAAAGGGUCCGCAGGUGGCCCGGUCAGUCCGCUGUCAAAACCUGGGGCUCAACCCUGGAGAGGCGGCGGAGACCACCGGGCUUGAGUCCGGUAGGGGCAGAGGGAAUUCCCGGUGGAGCGGUGAAAUGCGUAGAUAUGCGGAGGAACACCGAUGGCGAAGGCAGCCCCCUGGGCUAACACUGACGCUCAGGCACGAAAGCGUGGGGAGCAAACAGG
rnacentral:rRNA from 1 species